UGCAUAUCAAUAAGCGGAGGAAAAGAAACCAACAGGGAUUGCCCUAGUAACGGCGAGUGAAGCGGCAACAGCUCAAAUUUGAAAUCUGGCCUUCGGGUCCGAGUUGUAAUUUGCAGAGGAUGCUUUUGGUGAGGUGCCUUCCGAGUUCCCUGGAACGGGACGCCAUAGAGGGUGAGAGCCCCGUCUGGUCGGACACCAAUCCUUUGUAAAGCUCCUUCGACGAGUCGAGUAGUUUGGGAAUGCUGCUCUAAAUGGGAGGUAUAUGUCUUCUAAAGCUAAAUACCGGCCAGAGACCGAUAGCGCACAAGUAGAGUGAUCGAAAGAUGAAAAGCACUUUGAAAAGAGAGUUAAACAGUACGUGAAAUUGUUGAAAGGGAAGCGCUCAUGACCAGACUUGGGCUUGGUUGAUCAACUUGGGUUCUCCCGGGUGCACUCUUCCUCGUCCAGGCCAGCAUCAGUUCGCUGCGGGGGAUAAAGGUUUCGGGAAUGUGGCUCCCUCGGGAGUGUUAUAGCCCGUUGCGUAAUACCCUGCGGUGGACUGAGGUCCGCGCAUCUGCAAGGAUGCUGGCGUAAUGGUCAUCAGCGACCCGUCUUGAAACACGGACC
rnacentral:rRNA from 1 species